CAGCCGCCGCGGGAAUACAGAGGGUGCGAGCGUUAAUCGGAUUUACUGGGCGUAAAGCGUGCGUAGGCGGCUAAUUGAGUCGGAUGUGAAAUCCCCGAGCUUAACUUGGGAAUUGCAUUCGAUACUGGUUAGCUAGAGUGUGGGAGAGGAUGGUAGAAUUCCAGGUGUAGCGGUGAAAUGCGUAGAGAUCUGGAGGAAUACCGAUGGCGAAGGCAGCCAUCUGGCCUAACACUGACGCUGAGGUACGAAAGCAUGGGGAGCAAACAGGAUUAGAGACCCCAGUAGUCCCUGUCUCUUAUAC
rnacentral:rRNA from 1 species